UACGUAGGGCGCAAGCGUUAUCCGGAAUUAUUGGGCGUAAAGAGCUCGUAGGCGGUUUGUCGCGUCUGCCGUGAAAGUCCGGGGCUCAACUCCGGAUCUGCGGUGGGUACGGGCAGACUAGAGUGAUGUAGGGGAGAACGGAAUUCCUGGUGUAGCGGUGAAAUGCGCAGAUAUCAGGAGGAACACCGGUGGCGAAGGCGGUUCUCUGGGCCUGUACUGACGCUGAGGAACGAAAGCGUGGGGAGCGAACAGG
rnacentral:rRNA from 1 species